GGUGAGAGCAGGGAGCAGUUACGCCACGCGAACGGUCUUGAAAACCGUCGUGGCAGCGAUGUCACCGUGGGUUCAAAUCCCACACCCA
rnacentral:tRNA from 1 species